rnacentral:rRNA from 1 species
AGUGAACGCUGGCGUUAGGCCUAACACAUGCAAGUCGAACGGCAGCACAGUAAGAGCUUGCUCUUACGGGUGGCGAGUGGCGUACGGGUGAGGAAUACAUCUGAAUCUACUUUUUCGUGGGGGAUAACGUAGGGAAACUUACGCUAAUACCGCAUACGACCUACGGUUGAAAGCAGGGGAUCUUCGGACCUUGCGCUAUUGAAUGAGCCGAUGUCGGAUUAGCUAGUUGGCGGGGUAAAGGCCCACCAAGGCGACGAUCCGUAGCUGGUCUGAGAGGAUGAUCAGCCACACUGGAACUGAGACACGGUCCAGACUCCUACGGGAGGCAGCAGUGGGGAAUAUUGGACAAUGGGCGCAAGCCUGAUCCAGCCAUACCGCGUGGGUGAAGAAGGCCUUCGGGUUGUAAAGCCCUUUUGUUGGGAAAGAAAAGCAGCAGGUUAAUACCCCGCUGUUCUGACGGUACCAAAAGAAUAAGCACCGGCUAACUUCGUG